UACGUAGGGCGCAAGCGUUAUCCGGAAUUAUUGGGCGUAAAGAGCUCGUAGGCGGUUUGUCGCGUCUGCCGUGAAAGUCCGGGGCUCAACUCCGGAUCUGCGGUGGGUACGGGCAGACUAGAGUGAUGUAGGGGAGACUGGAAUUCCUGGUGUAGCGGUGAAAUGCACAGAUAUCAGGAGGAACACCGAUGGCGAAGGCAGGUCUCUGGGCCGAUACUGACGCUGAGGAGCGAAAGCGUGGGGAGCGAACAGG
rnacentral:rRNA from 1 species